GAUUAACGCUGGCGGCGUGCCUAACACAUGCAAGUCGAACGAGGUAGCAAUACCUAGUGGCAGACGGGUGAGUAACACGUGGGCAACCUACCGUAAAGUGGGGGAGUAACUAGUCGAAAGAAUUAGCUAAUACCGCAUGGGGAAGUUGGUCGGCAUCGGCCAACGUCCAAAGGAAGCAAUCCGCUUUAUGACGGGCCCGCGCCCGACUUAGCUAGUUGGUGGGGUAACGGGCCUACCAAGGCUCCGAUCGGUAGCUGGUUUGAGAGAGCGACCAGCCA
rnacentral:rRNA from 1 species